rnacentral:antisense_RNA from 1 species
AGAGUUCACUGAGAGGACUGGGAUCACCCGUCACCCCGCCCUGGUCUACGGAAAAUGACAAGUGUUUACUGAUAUAGAAACGGAAUAUAUAGAAUAUGGAAACGGAAUAUAUAGAAACGGCGCUGUGGGCUAGGGUGGGCGGAGCUGCCUUCAGGCUUCUGGUCUCCAGCAGCGGGGAACUCACACCUGCCGCUGUGAAAAUGCAGACCCGCGGGGCAGGAAUUCCGAGUCCAGCCUGGGGCGCGAUCUGUAAUCUGACUCGCUUGAAACACCGCGGCGGAUUCGGAGCCAGGUGACUAGGGAAAUGAGCCUCAGCCCCUCCCACGGGCCGCCCACGGAUUCCAGGAUCCGAAAACUCUUCUUGCUGCUGCGUCACCCCAGGAAGGCAGCGCCCGCCUCUGGGCUGUUCUGAUGGAAACUGGCUCCGCCGUCCAGAGGAAAACCCACAACUAAGGGGCCAAGAAAAAGCCUCCAUGGUCGCGCCCUUUCAGUGAGGAUCCUAAUUUAUACCCCGAGUGUGGCCCCCAUCAAAGUCUGCAGUGACAGCCGAGCGCGGUGGCUCACGCCUGUAAUCCCAGCACUUUGAGAGGCCGAGGCGGGCGGAUCACGAGAUCAGGAGAUCGAGACCAUCCUGGCUAACACGGUGAAAUCCCGUCUCUACUAAAAAUACAAAAAAUUAGCCGGGCGUAGUGGCACGUGCCUGUAGUCCCAGCUACUAGGGAGGCUGAGGCAGGAGAAUGGCGUGAACCCAGGAGGCGGAGCUUGCAGUGAGCCGAGAUCGCGCCACUGCACUCCAGCCUGAGCGACAGAGCGAGACUCCGUCUCACAAAAAAAAAAAAAAAAAGAAAAGAAAAUCUAGAGUGACGUUCACUGAAAUGAUACUAGACCAGCCGGGACCCAGAGCGCUGCGGCUCACAGAAUGCGGUGACAGCGCCGCCUCGCGUCCCUUUCUUCACCUGCCUCAGGCAGACGUGGUCACGUGUGUUGGCCUCCAGGCUGGAAUACACUGGGGAUUAAAUGCAGAGAGGGGGGAGAAAGGAGGGAAGGAUGGGAGGACGUGUUGAAGAAAGACAGGAAGAGCUGGCGCUAUGGUUCAUACCUGUAAAACUAGCGCUUUCGGAGGCGAGGCAGGAGGAUGGUGUGAGACCAGGAGUUUGAGGUUGCAGUGAGCCAUGAUCGCACCACUGCACUCCAGCCUGGACGACAGAGUGAGACCCUGCUUUUAUAUACUUUUCAUAUUUUCUGUAAUUAAGCAAGUUUUACUUUAUUUUAGGAUAAAAUAUCUAUUGUGAAUUUUAAAAACAUGUAAAAUAAAAUUUUAAUUAAAAAGCCCAAA